rnacentral:rRNA from 1 species
GACGAAGGGGGCAAGCGUUGUUCGGAAUUACUGGGCGUAAAGGGCGCGUAGGCGGCCAUUUGAGUCAGACGUGAAAGGCCUGGGCUCAACCUGGGAAUUGCGUUUGAUACUGGAUGGCUUGAGAGCGGGAGAGGAUGGUGGAAGUCCCAGUGUAGAGGUGAAAUUCGUAGAUAUUGGGAAGAACACCGGUGGCGAAGGCGGCCAUCUGGACCGUAUCUGACGCUGAGGCGCGAAAGCGUGGGGAGCAAACAGG